rnacentral:tRNA from 3 species
GGGCCCUUAGCUCAGUUGGUAGAGCCUCCGGCUCAUAACCGGCAGGUCGCAGGUUCGACCCCUGCAGGGCCCACCA